AUGUAUUCCAGAAACUUUUUUCAGUUUUUCAUCAUAUUUGAGAGGACUUCUUACAUUCAGUAUUUUUUUUUUCUUUUUUUUUUUUGGUACGGGGGAUCGAACUUGGGACCUUGCGAUUUCGAGGCAGGUGCUGGAACCACUGAGCUAAAUCCCCGGCCCGAGGACUGCUUACAAUAUGCCCUUAUGAACAGGUCACACACUUCCCCCUGGCCUGGUAUUUGCCGCGUUUCUACCGCCAACCUCUAUCCAGGAACUUCGGAGAGGGCCAGGCCCCGUCCUGACUGGGGACCUGGACAGACUUGCAGGCCCGUGCGGUUCGGGAUUGGCCCGAGACGAACAGGUGCCGCUUGCGCCCCCUGGUGGCCACCCUGGCUGAGCGUCUGCGCGGACCUCCCCUUCCGGGUGUCCUUGCCUAUAGAUGCUUGAGUCGCCGCCUGUUUUGGGGGCUCUAAGGGAUAUAUAUAUUUCUAUUGUUAUUAUUGAUGUCUACACAAAAGAGCAAGCCUGGGAAUCUGUAACACUUGGCGUUCUGACUACAUCAUGUCCUUUAAAGGCCCCAGGUCCUGGGUGGAUACUUAGUCCCCCAAACCUCAGAAUCAACAGGCUGAUCUUGAAGUCUGCUUUGAAAUGUUCUCCCCUAUUGUGACAAGGUAAAUUCGCUCCAGGUCUGCUACUUGGUGAACAUUAAAUUUCUUUUUCUUUGAGACAAGGUCACACUAUGUACUUCAGGGUGGCCUUGAACUCACUAUGUAGCCUAGGCUGGCCUCGAACUUGCAGUGACCCUCCUGCAUCAGCCUCUUGAGUACAACCGUGAGCCACCACGCUCAGCCUUGCAAUUUCUUUCUCUGUAAUUCAGGAAGAACAGGAAGUUCCUGCUAGAGCCAGUACCCCUCCUACACCCCCUUUCUGGGUUCCCUGAUCUCAGAGAAGACGUCUUCGCUUGUAGACGUCAUAUAUGAACACCUGAUUUCGCGUCCGUUCAAUUUCUUUUAAAGUGUCCUACAGGAACUGAGUUGCGCGUUUUUUCAUCUUUUGACUCCUCUCCGGGGAGCCGUCGGUUUUGAACGUGCAAGUCACACCCAGUCCGAGCUCCGGCGCCCAGGCUGGCGUCCCCUCUUCAGGCCCAGGACCCCUCUGCCCGCACUACCAGCUCCGUGCAGCCUCCUAACUGGUGCUCGUGAAAGCAGCUUCGUGCGUCCCUGGAAGGCACCGCUCACCACCAGAGCACCCUGCGGCCCUGUCCGAGGUGAUUUUCUUCUUUCUGAUGCGGUCCGAAUCCCGAAGCCCGUUAGGGCGACAGGUCCUUGACAUGGAUGGGUUCUGAUGCAUCUUCCAGAGAUCGCCUGUUGAAACACCAGCCAUCGGCUCAACUUGUUCUGUUUAGGUUUCUCUUUAAGUCUUUCCCCCAAGCCUCUACUUUAAGCCCCAACGUUGGUGAUUCUCAGCUCCUUAUCCAUGCCCUCUGGUCUUCGCAGUGCCGAUCAGUGGUGCGCAUGCGCUGAGCCCCAGCAGGCCCUGCGCCCCCGCCAGUUUGUUCUUCAGCCCGGACGCCGUUAAAGUUGCCCUGUCCGGCAUCAUGUGUCAGGCCCAGUGUGGCACAGAGCGUCACCCCCGUCAGCCGACCCUGCGUGGUGGCCCCGAAACCACUUCAGCGUCCCUCAGGCUGCAGGGACCUGUGGGCACAGCAGACCAAGGAGGAGAAGAAGAAUGCGCCGCCCGGGCCGGGCCAUCCCAGCAGGCGGGCAGCCUCAGAGCAGGAGGGGCAGAGGACAAGGCCAGUGCGCCUUCCCCUUGAUUUUUCUUUUGAGACAGGGCCUCACCGUGUAGUCCAGGGUGGCCUUGAACUCACUACGUGGUCCUUUCCUAUUUGUCACGGCCAGAUUUGCUGAGAAAGCCCCGCCCACAAGCUCAGCCGCUGCCUGAACACCAAGGGACUCCACUGCCCCCCAGUGGACUUUGAAAAUAUGACUGCUUUUCCAAAAACAUCCUAUUUUAGAUCCUCAAGCAUGCUUAAGUAAAUACAAAAAAUUAAAACAAUCCCCUGCCUAUCGUAGCGGAAUGAAGGUAGAAAUAAACAGCAAAAUGGCCGGAGGUUUAGCUCAGUGGUGCCGCCGCCUGCCUCACAAGCACAAGGUCCUUAGUUCGAUCCCCAGUACUGGAAAAAAAAAUUGAGAAAGAUAAGGACAUAUGUGGCUGCAGGAGAAAGGACGGACUUGGGUGGCCAAGGGGCAGGCCCGGCUCCACACAGACCUAGCUGGCCCUUCCCCAAGGUCCCAUUCCCUAAUUGUGUUAUCACUCGUUAAGGCCAUCCUAUAGCUUUCAAAAAAGUUCUUUCUGGAAGGGGCAGACUGUGAGAGAACCGGGAGUUUCUCAGCGUUGUUAGCAUGUUUGAUGACCACGAAGGACAACUGGAGGGAGAGCUGUGGGUAGGUGUGCUCCACCUAGCAGAUUCUGAAAGAUGAGUCCAGGGGCUUCAGCGGACUGGGCCGUGGUGAGGGGCGACCAGCGUGUGUCUGGGCCUCAGGAAGCCCCCUGGGCCAGCAGACUGUGGGCACCAGCAGCCCUGCUAUGCAGGGUCACUCACUUCCUGGUGUCAAGCUCUGGUGCUCACAGGGUUGUCAGUCUCCCCUCAAUUUGCUGCCCCUUCCUCUUCUAACAGGGAGGACCUGCCCAGCUGGGGUCAGGGCAAGGUGCAGGCCUCCAGCUCGGCAGAAGGAACACUCGGGCCAGGAGCUAGUGUGGGUGUCCCCAGAAGCAGACGCGGAAACAAGGCUUUCAAUGCUCAUUUGGGACUUGAUCUUGGGAAAAGCUGGUAGAGUGGACACGAGCCAGUGAAAGCUCCGUAUGGAGCCGGAACUUAGCGCUGCUGCUCCCAACUAGGGAGCAGACACCUGCGAAAUCUGGGCAGCCUGAGGUAGUUGGGCUGUCCUCUUCCUUCAAAUGCACCUCAGGAGCACUGAGACCUGGGAAUGGCUCCAGCCUCGAGGUACCAGCACUGCAGCCUCCCUCAGGUGCCCAUGAGGCCACACCUGCCUGGGGCUGGUAGAUCAGGAACUCAAGGCUCAAGGGCUGGAGCUCUGCUGCAAGGGGAGGAGGGCGCUGGGCCAGUAGCCGGGAGGAAGGGGGGAGCUGAACUUUAGUGCGGUGCCUUCAUAA
rnacentral:lncRNA from 1 species